GGUUGAGAAUGUAGACAUUGCUCGGUGCAUGUUUACUGUGCGAGGAACUGGCCGUGGCAGCUUUAUUGCUGGCAAAAGCGUGCAUAACCAGAGAGUGGAACGGCUAUGGAGAGAUGUUUGGACUGCUGUAACAUCAAGCUACUACAAUGUUCUCCACAGCUUGGAAGAGGAGGGAUUAAUUGACCUGUCUAAUGCUGUUCACCUAUUCUGUGUGAGAUAUGUUUUCAUCCCCAGAAUACACACAGAUUUGCAGCAUUUCAUAGAGAUGUGGAACUGUCAUCCCUUGCGAACGGAGGGAAAUUUGUCACCGAAUCAACUUUGGAAUAUUGGGAUGUUGCAAGCACCUGUGUCAGAGCCUGAUUUUGCAGAGAUUUUGCAAGCAGAGGAAUUAUUCUUCCAGAAUCCACAGAGUGUUGACUCUGAACAUGGAGUCAUUGUCCCAGAGAUACCUUGCCCCCUUGUCACCUGAAGAUUUUGCUACUUUACAGAAUCAAGUGAACCCCA